ACCUUCUAUGAGGUUUCUCUAAUUGAUUGUAGCUGGGAGAAGGAAAUACGGAUUAUUGACCCAGCAAGUGAGCUCGCGUGUUUGCACACUAGUGCUUCAGUGGCCUGCUCUUCAGUUUCAAACAUAACAAGAGCCUGCUUCUUCCCAUUCAUCUCAAAGAGUUUGGUGUUGACAAUGGUGCCAUGCUCCUCCAAAUGGCUCACUAUCUCCUCUUCAGUGAUGUCCUGAGGAAGAGUGGAAAUGUGGAUCAUCUUUGUUGGUGAGCAGCAGUACCUGUAGUUCUUUGCAGCGUUACGGUUAAAGCGGUUGAGAUUGGAGUUGACGUACUCAUGAGUGUCAGCACCUUGAGUUAUGUUUGGAUGCUUUGAAAAAUUGACUUCCAAUCGCUUCCCAAAAAGCAUAGCGCCCUGUUCCACAUUUGAAAAUCAUUAAAAAUGUCAAGUUCUAAAAACUAAAAGAGACGUAAACUAAGAAAGAAGACCAACUAUAGUUGGAAAGACAAUUAGCAUAUUGUUAUACAAUUGGCAGGAGCAAGUUAAAAAAAAAAUGCAAAUAAAGUGGAAAAGAAGAUGCAAAGAACAUAGAUUGAUUUCCUAAUUCAUGGAUAAUCUGAAACCACAGAAGCAGAGAGAAGCACAAAUUUCCACCCAAAGGGACAGCCAUUGUUGGUCAAUGACUGUUAGAAUCCCUCUCUUUGCUUUCAUUCUUAUUUGAUAUACUAAAAAUCAUGGAACACAAAUUUUGUAGACCCUUCAAAUGGCUGGAUAGGGUUUACACUUUAAAAUAAGAAGACAGAAGAACCACAGAAGAUCAAUGAGACAAGAGUUGACACCACAAAAAAUGUAAGGAGAAUCAACAUAGUUUAAAAAAAUAAAUAAAUAAAGCCAUGAAUGAAAGAACAAUUGAUUGUUUUUCCCAAUGAAGCCCUCUGAAUCCUAGAGACUAGACCCGGCCAAAACCGGCCUGAAACCGAAACCAUGAAGUUCCAGUUCAGGUUCAUUGUGGUGUAAGUUCAACGGUCCAGUUUUUUUUCAGAUUUUUUUAAUUUUUUUAAAUGGAAAAAAGGCAGUUCAGCCUGGAACCAUCCAGUUUGGUUCUAGUUCAAUUCCAGUCCAGUUCAUUUACGGUUCGAGUCAAAGACAGGUUUAGCCAGUUCCUGUUCUGAACGGGCCCUUGGCCACCUCUAUCAGAGACUUCUGAUUUAUCAUAUUAUUGCUUAAACUGACAGAAAGAUACAGCUUUAUUUCAUUUUGGAGAAAUGUUGUCAACACUGAUUAAAGUAAAAUGCUAAGAAAAUAAAUUAAAAAUUUACCUAUGAGCAAUAAUUUCAAGGAGUAGGCACUAAGUACACUAAAAAAACAUGCCGAACACAUUAUCAUAGAAAGUAUCUUCCAAAAUAAUCAAAGUAAUGUAGUGUGAGAAGCUUUUAGGAAUAGACCUUCAAAAAAUGCACUGCUAAUUCAGCCUGAAAACCAUCCCCCAUCUGAACAAGUGCAUGAUCUGGUUUAUUGCGGAGAAACUUAAUCCUCACAAUGUUUCCGUAGAGAGAAAACAGGUUAAAAAGCUUAUCCUCAUCCACUCGAUCGGGAUUUAAAUUUGAUACAAGCACUGUACACCUAUCAUUUGUCCCACUAAUUCCAGGAGGCAAGCCUCCACCAAAGGCAGCAGCAAUUGCAGUUGCAUUGGCCAUCUGUGGAUAUGCAACUCCUACAUCACCAUAUCCAGCCGGUUGUGAAGAUCUGCCUUUCUGUUCAGAAGGUAGAUUUGGAUUAGUGAAAUCCCUUGAUCGAUCAUUAUUGUAGUUCACUUGCAACUCAUCCAAGCUGGAUGGCAAAUACAAAGAAUAAAUUCAUAUCAGCAAGAUGAAAAAAAAUUGAAAUUCCUUUUCUUUUUGCAGGUAUAAGGCAUCAAAAAUAGAGCAGUCACACAGGUGAAAUCAUGGAUAAUUACACUCAGAUGCCACAAAGAAAAAGAGAUGGUGACAGAUGACUUUCUUUUGGUGGGCGGUUAAAAUUAGAUAAUAUAAUUGCUAAAAUUUAUUACAUACUUUGAAAACUGAAUGUCCAGCUGACAGCAACCGUCAUAAAUGUUGCGUCCCUACGACACAGCCAAGUAUCAAAACUCAUCCAAAACGAAGCCAACCAGAGACGAGGAUGGUCGUAGUAAGCGACGAAAUGCUUGCAAGACCUUAAACAAAUCUAUAGAUGAAAGUCACAUUGGCAAUUAAAAGAUAGAAUAAUACCUGAAGAGAAGUCCUAGCUGCAACAGCACUCUGCCGUAACUGAUACUGGAUAAGGGCUUGAAAACCUGAACAUUGAGCAGGGAUAAUAGAGGGAAAGUAACUAUUAAAAACCAUGGAAAACUCUUAUGCACAACUCUGUUGAAAUCAUUAUGCCUCCAUCACCGACUGAAAAUCAUAAGAGUAUUUCACAAAAGCACCCGAAGUAAAGAGUUAGGAAAAAGAAAACACAGGUGAUUCACAACUAUAAAGUCAUUUGGCGGACCCAUUAGAAUGUUGAUCAUGAAAAUAUAAGCAUACAAAAAGACCUUAAUGUCAAAUCUAAUCUAGGCGAGAAUUAAAAUUUGAGAGAGAGGGGAGAAGCAGGGAGAGAGAGAAAGAGAAGAAAACUUGAAGAAGCUGACCAGCCGACUUCUGAAAUGUGACGAUCUUCUCCACAAACCCAUGAGGAGAAAAAACUUGAUGCAGCACUUCCACAGUAAUAGGAUAUAGCAUGUGAUGGAUUGUGACUAAAAGAAUGCGAUUCGGCUGUGCAUCCAGAGUCCCCAACAGCAAAAACCAUAGAGACAGAAGAGAGAGAAGAGAAUAAAUAGAGAAGCAUAGAUAGGGAGACGAGAGAGAUAUAAAGAGAGAACUUUAUUUAGAGAAAAAAAGAACAAGAACAAACAAAAAUAAAUGAGUAAUAGUUAAACUAACAGAAAGCAUUUAACAAUUAAUGAUGAUUGAAAUACAAGAAAAUGAGAAAUGCAAGAUCCGAGAAGGAAGUCAUAAAUGCUAACUGUUAAUAGAGUUAUAAUUUGAUUUUUAUCACCAAAUCAUAAUGAUUUAACUACACAACUGUUACAAGUUAAUAAUUUAUAUUACCCCUUAAAACUAUAAGAGUAACAUAAGAAUUGUUCCUUUGUAAGCCAACAGUUUGCAAAUAAAAAUUUCCCAACUUAAGUUAAAAAGAAUAAUAGCUGAACAAGUUCUUUUGCUUCCUGGUAAUGAAUAAGCCCCUAGUUCACGACAAUCCUUAAGGCAAUGUCAACUAACAAUAUGUAACAAUUGAAAGGCAAUUCCAUAAAAAGAUUGGUCCUUUAAAAUGCUAUAUGUAUAAAUAUAAACAACACACCCACAUUUCAUUUUUAGCAUAUUAGGCUACAAAGCACCAACCUCAUCUCCACGUCCUUGAGAAUUUUGAUCCAUUGUGGUUAAUUCCUGAUGCGACGAGAAUUGGACAUAAACAUUUCUACCCCUUAUGGUUGGCUGGACAUUUGUGUAGAAUUGCAGAGCAUUGAUGGCUGAAGGGACAUCUUGCAUUUGGAGGAGAGCCUGAUUUUUAGCCCGAAGCAUAACAAGUUUUGUUAUGACCCCAAAUGGCUGGAAUAGCUGAAGCAAAUCAUUUUCAGAAAUUUCAUGCCCAACAUUGCGGACGUGGAUAACUUUGGAAGGUUCUGCCAUCUUGUACCACCCUGCAACAAAAACAAUGCAAUAUUUCCAGUAUCAAAAGAAUCAUAUCGCAUUGAAGAGUAUCUCACCCAAAAUGGAAGCAACUAAAUACACAAAACUCCCUCCAUUCACAAACAGUACACAAGACAAUGCUCAUUCAGUCCUCAAAUCAACAACAACGUUCAAAUUCAAAAACUGAAAACGCAAGUUUUACGCCUGGACCAUUAUUAAUCAUUAAAAACAUAAAGUUUCAUUAAAAACUAAAUCAAGUUCAGUAAAUUUAUCUUUUAAACAGCAAAAAAAAAUAUAAUAAUGGCACUUAUUUCCUGCAAUACAUGACUAAAUCAAAAGCAAAUUCGAAAGAGUAUGAAAGAAGCCAAUCAUUCAAAUCCAAAAAAUAAAGAAAUAAAAACACUAAAUCACAGUAAACACAAAAGGUAGAAAAGGCCAUUUAGAGUAUGCGAAACUGAAAACCCUAGGGCCCCGUUUAUAAGCUGAGAAAUAAGAGGAAAAAAAAUCAAAAAGAUAGACUUUGAAUCCAAAGAAUAGCUAAUAGCUAAGAAAUUGAAAGCUAAAAACUUUAUUAGUCGUUAAGAUUUUCUCAGCGACGAAACAUACCAUCCAUUCAUCCAUGAAAGCAGAGUGAGAUAGAUAAUCAAAAAGGAAGAGAGAGAUGAAGAACUUGCCUGAGAGGGAGAAAGAGAGGAGAGAGAGAGUGAACUGAGAGAGAGAGACAGAGAGAGACAGAGAGACAGAGAUUGGAUACGAGGUGCAGAAGAAAACUUUCAAGUCAUUCAGAAUAGAUCCACAAGAAGAACAGAGGGGCUGGGGUGCAGUGCAAUGGUGGGUGUAGAGGGAAAAAUGGGAAUAAAGAAAGGGAAAGAAAAGGAGAGCCGAAGUAGACCAAGUUAACGAUUGAAAUAGAAUUAAAA
rnacentral:misc_RNA from 1 species